GCCACAAGUACUCCUUUUUGCGAAUACAGACUAACACGGCUGUUACUCUGAAUACUGGGAGGUAGCGGUCGGAGGUGGUAGGGCCUGGGCUGUGGGGGUGGCCAAAGAAUCUGUCAGGAGGAAGGGCUGGAUCAGCUUUUCUCCUGAGGAGAGGAUCUGGGCCAUGGAUCAGUUUGGGAGCCAUUACCGGGCUUGCACCUCCCCAGAGAUCCUCCUGUCCCUGACUGGGAGCCCUGGGAAGAUUGGAGUGUAUCUGAACUAUGAGCGGGACCUGGUGUCAUUUUAUCAUCCUGGUAUGGAGGCCCCAAUCUACACUUUCACCACCUCUUUCACUGGGCAGCUCCACCCUUUCCUCUGGGUCUACUCCCCAAUCACGCUGUGUCCCUGAGAUAUGGCAUUGUGGGGAUAGCACCUCUCACUGGUCAAAGACGUUUUUUGUUCUGUUGUUUUCUGAAAUGGACUAAUUUUUCAUUUUUAAAUAUUUUCCAUUUUUUUUUUAUUCUUCUCAAAACUUGGAAUUUUCCAGAAUGAAUAUUAUCAGUUUUGAAAAUCCUACCAUUUGACUAAGCUGAGGGCUCAAAAUUGGCAAAGCAGAAGAAAUCCUGAUAUUAUGGUGAUGAGUGUGGUGUAAGAAGCUACACAGAAUAGAACAGAUCCCAAUAAACAAUACAUCAUAGGACCCCUCCACCCAAAUAAAAGGUUUAAGUUGAAAAUUUUGUAAUAAUGCAAAAAAAAAAAAAAAACCCCUCAAGAAAAUCCAAAUGUUUUCACAAAAAAAUCUCUUUUUGUAAACCGGCCAAAUUUCCUCAAGAUAUUUUUUGAAUGAAAACUUUUGUUCAGCUCUAAUUAACGCCUGUAAUUGCACAUAAUCAAUGAAUGUUUCCUGAUUCUUAGUACUGUAAUUUAUCAACUGAUCAUCAUUGAUGAGUGGAAGGGGUAAGAACAUGUGUCAAACCCUGUCCCAAAACAUCACAUUGCCCAAACUGGAAAAAAGGCUCCAAGAAAGCAGAUUCCUAACCAGUAACCAUGUUCUGUGAUAUUAUUGGUGAAAGAAAUGGAGUCAGAGGAAUGGAGGGAGCUCCGGUUCUCUGGAUGAGUGUUGAUCAUAGGGUUCACAGCAUCCAGGAAGGCUUAACCUAAAGCCAAAAUGACAGGUAUGUCCUAUACCAGCUAAAUUUAGAGAAAAGGAGUACUUGUGGCACCUUAGAGACGAACAAAUUUAUUUGAG